rnacentral:siRNA from 1 species
GUGUCACCGAUGAAGGUGCUCUGA